AGAUUUCACCAUCUCUUUGGAGGCCUGGGUCAGCACCACCGUCUGCUGCCAGCCCUCCCAGCGUGCACGAGCUAUCCCUGCUCCCAGGAUACUGAGGUAAAGGGUGCUUCAGAGCAACUACUGAAGUCAUGACUGUGGAUGUGACCAGGACUGUCCUGCACACACAGCUGAAGAAAGAGCUGGCUGGAGAGAUGUCCAAAGGUGAAUGCCAGCCAGUCAUGCUGUCAGUGCAGCAGCCCAGAGCCUGCCAGAAGCUCCCACCAGCCCCAUCCUCAGCCACCCUCUGCCUGCCAUCAUCCUUCACCUCUCCUCAUGUACAUCAUGAUGUACCACAUCAACUCUUUCUUACUCCUUUACUCUGCCUUUCAAACAUUGCCUUGUAUGCACAGUUUAGUUGCAUAGCGUUCCUUGCAUUUCUACCACUCACUGAUAGGAGGUGUUUCCUUGUUAGAGAUCCUUCACUAUUUCCCUUUUCUCAUCCAGUUAAAAUACCUGAAAAUCUAUCUGUUAUGGAGCAGCAGAUAACGACCUCCAAAUGACCCGUACAGUGUUUAUUGUCACGUUUUGAUUAUUUGUGUACCUUGCUGGAGAAAUGACAGUCAAAAAGGGAUUGCUGAAUCAGAUAAAAAAAUAAGCGACUGCAGCAUAAAACAUUUGCAAACAGCUUUUUGUGCAACAAAGAAAGUGCAAAAAUAUGGCAGAUAAUGCUCCUGAUUAGCACCUUGGAUUAAUUAAAAUAGAAGUUUAAAUGUAUGGUAACCUUUUGGAAAAGAAAGAGUGAAAAAGAAAAAGAAAGAAGAUUGUAAACUUAGUAUUCCAAAGCAGAACUAUUUAUAUUACAUAAUGUCUAGGAGGGAUGGCAUGCAUGAAAUGUGUUUGGAAUUUUGUAGCAUCUAUAGUGCAGUUUAAAAGCCAAUAAUAAGAUUUAACUAAAGAACAAUUCUGUAAAAGCUACAGAAAUGCCCUGGAUUCUUGCACCAGCACAUGUCUCUACUGUAUUCAUUUGGUGAGUCACCACUGCAUGCAAUAGCAGCUUCUAAGUGGAAACCCGGGGAAAUCAGUGUGCAUUAUCCAACAUACUGAAUACUGAAGCAGCAGUUACUAGAGAUCACUAAAUAAGCAAAUAUAAAUAAUGCUGUUAUAUAGCUAGCACAGGAUUGUGUAUUUCCAUUUCCAUCUAAAAGAAAAAGGAACAAAAUUAAUUAGUGGAAGAGUAUUUGAAAGAAGUUCAUGAAAUGAUUUGAACAGACAGAUAACAAUUGCAUCAGCCAGUAUG